AUGGCUUCAUCGGCGGUGAGCCACAGCCACGGCGGGCAGCACCAGCAGCACCUGCCGGCGGCGGCAGGGAGCAUGAUGGCGCGGGUGGACCGGCUGGACCUGGUGGUGGGGUACCUGGAGGAGAUGCGCCACCACAGCGGCGGCAGCGGCAGGUCGUCCACCACCGCGACCAGCACGCUGUCAUCGUCAUCCCCGACCACGCCUAGGUCUUCCCGGCCUCAUGGGUGCCGGCCGGCGGAGGAGCUGCUGCGGGAGGCCAAGGCCAAGGGGAGCCUGGUGGAGCGCAUAGCGUUCCUGGAGGACCGGGUGCUCCGGAUGGAGGAGGAGCGCAUGGAUCUGUCGUCCAGCAUGGAUACGGCGGAGCAGACCACGCCGACCUCGUCGGGGAGGAGGACGAUGAGGAUGAUGAUGAGCGGCAGCGGCGGGGCCGGGGAUGAGCAUGGGAGUGGCGGGAGCGGGAAGAAAGGGAAGAAGGGGCUCAAGAGCUUGGUCAAGUCAUGCGUCCGAGCAGGCGCCAAGCUCAAGACCAAGGAAUAG
rnacentral:rRNA from 1 species